CCAAUAGCGUAUAUUAAAGUUGUUGCAGUUAAAAAGCUCGUAGUUGAAUUUCGGGAUUGACACAUCGGUCGUGCCUUAAGGGGUAUGAACUGGUGUAGUCAAUUUCUCACCUUCUGGAGAACCGCGAUGCCCUUAAUUGGGUGUCACGGGGAACCAGGACCUUUACUUUGAAAAAAUUAGAGUGUUUAAAGCAGGCAUUUUGCUUGAAUACAUUAGCAUGGAAUAAUAAAAUAGGACGGCAUGAUUCUAUUUUGUUGGUUUCUAGGAUCACCGUAAUGAUUAAUAGGGAUAGUUGGGGGCAUUAGUAUUCAAUUGUCAGAGGUGAAAUUCUUGGAUUUAUUGAAGACUAACUACUGCGAAAGCAUUUGCCAAGGAUGUUUUCAUUAAUCAAGAACGAAAGUUAGGGGAUCGAAGACGAUCAGAUACUGUCGCAGUCUUAACCAUAAACUAUGCCGACUAGGAAUCAGACGAUGUUAAUUUUUUAAUGACUCGUUUGGCACCUUACG
rnacentral:rRNA from 1 species